rnacentral:rRNA from 1 species
AUUGAACGCUGGCGGCAGGCCUAACACAUGCAAGUCGAGCGAGCGGCGGCCGGGUGAGUAAUGUCUGGGGACUGCCCGAUAGAGGGGGAUAACUACCGGAAACGGUGGCUAAUACCGCAUACUAUCGGAUAACCCAUAUGGGAUUAGCUAGUUGGUGGGGUCAAGGCCUACCACGGCGACGAUCCCUAGCUGGUCUGAGAGGAUGAUCAGCCACACUGGGACGGAGACACGGCCCAGACUCCUACGGAGGCAGCAGUGGGGAAUAUUGGACUAGGGGCGCAAGCCUGAUGCAGCCAUGCCGCGUGUAUGAAGAAGGCCUUAGGGUUGUAAAGUACUUGCAGUGGGGAGGCGUUACCAGCAGAAGAAGCACCGGCUAACUCCGUGCCAGCAGCCGCGGUAAUUC